AUAAUUAUUAAUUAUGUUAUACGUUUUCACGAGCGGGGCUCACAACAACGUGUGAAAUACUCGUUUACGUUUGGCUCGCGUUCUCGCGAAUCGGUAAUUACAUUUGCGUUGUGUUUACCGUGACGUUACCAGGAGCAUUGACUGUGUAUUUUAUUCGAUGCGUGGCAUGCGGUCAUAUUGUGCCGUUCACCGUGCGAUAAGUGCCGGAUAAAUUGUGUCCGUGAAGUUGGCCCACCCACUACAUCCGAUCGCGUCCAAACUGGUGUCAACGUUUCGCUAGUGAUUUGCACGUUUGGCACUUUACAUUAGCUCUUAUCUCGCCUAUAGGUGGAUGGGUUAA